rnacentral:rRNA from 1 species
GACAUAGGUGGCGAACGUUAUCCGGAAUUAUUGGGCGUAAAGGAUGCGUAGAUGGUAGAAUAAGUUACUGGUUGAUGCCAAACUCAAUUUGACGGAAGCUGGUAAUACUGUUCUGCUAGAGGGCAGGAGAAGUUGAUGGAAUUCUGUGUGGAGCGGUGAAAUGCGUUGAUCUACAGAGGAACACCAAAAAAGGCGAAGGCAGUCAACUAUUCUGUUCCUGACAUUGAGGCAUGAAAGCGUGGGGAGCAAACCGG